rnacentral:rRNA from 1 species
UACGGGGGGGGCAAGCGUUGUUCGGAAUUACUGGGCGUAAAGGGCUCGUAGGCGGCCAACUAAGUCAGACGUGAAAUCCCUCGGCUUAACCGGGGAACUGCAUCUGAUACUGGAUGGCUUGAGUUCGGGAGAGGGAUGCGGAAUUCCAGGUGUAGCGGUGAAAUGCGUAGAUAUCUGGAGGAACACCGGUGGCGAAGGCGGCAUCCUGGGCCGACACUGACGCUGAGGAGCGAAAGCCAGGGGAGCAAACAGG